AUGGCGCAUGUCGGGGGCGUCAUCGCUUCUGCCAUCCUCGCUGUUGUGAGCAAGCAGAUCAUGUCCGCCAUCAAAGGCCAGAUCAAGCUGCAGUGGAACUUCGUAAGCGACCUACAGAAGAUGAGAUCGUCGCUGCAGACGGUGGAGGCCCUGCUCGAAGACGCUGAGAGGCGGUCCAUCACGGAUCAGGCGGUGCGUCUGUGGCUGGGGCGGCUCAAGGACACUAUGUAUGAGAUCUCUGACAUGAUCGAUGAUUUCGAAGUCAACACUGAACCUGCUUCACAAAAGUGUUGCCCUCCAAUCAAUGUUUCCAAGUUGAAAAUGGCCAAUAAGAUGAAGAAUAUGAGAGAGCAGUUGAAGGGGAUCGCAGAAGACCGUAUUCCUUUCAUUUUCAUGCAAGAAAAUGCCCCUAGUGUGCCGGAAAUCCAUGAUAACCGGGAAACAAUAGCGGCUGUGACGAAAACACAAGUCGCAGGAGGGAUAAUGAUAAACAGGAAAUCAUGGCUCGUUUAUCUGGGAGCAUCACAAAAGAAAUCACCAUCCUUCCCAUAUAUGGUAUUGGAGGCAUUAGGAAGACAACCAUGGCACAAUUGGUUUUCAAGGAUUCACACUUCAAAGAGUACUCUCGGGUGUGGGUCUAUGUAUCCCAGAAAUUUGAUUUGA
rnacentral:rRNA from 1 species